AGCGAGAUCAUUGGGUCAUAUGGUGGUUCCACUUCAAGUUCUUUGAGGAAUCUCCAUAAUGCUUUCCAGAGUGGGUGCACCAAUUUGCUGUCCCACCAGCAAU
rnacentral:pre_miRNA from 1 species